CCUUCGGGGUGGAUUAGUGGCGAACGGGUGAGUAACACGUGGGCAAUCUGCCCUGCACUCUGGGACAAGCCCUGGAAACGGGGUCUAAUACCGGAUAACACUCUCGCAGGCAUCUGUGAGGGUUAAAAGCUCCGGCGGUGCAGGAUGAGCCCGCGGCCUAUCAGCUUGUUGGUGGGGUGAUGGCCUACCAAGGCGACGACGGGUAGCCGGCCUGAGAGGGCGACCGGCCACACUGGGACUGAGACACGGCCCAGACUCCUACGGGAGGCAGCAGUGGGGAAUAUUGCACAAUGGGCGAAAGCCUGAUGCAGCGACGCCGCGUGAGGGAUGACGGCCUUCGGGUUGUAAACCUCUUUCAGCAGGGAAGAAGCGAAAGUGACGGUACCUGCAGAAGAAGCGCCGGCUAACUACGUGCCAGCAGCCGCGGUAAUACGUAGGGCGCAAGCGUUGUCCGGAAUUAUUGGGCGUAAAGAGCUCGUAGGCGGCUUGUCACGUCGGUUGUGAAAGCCCGGGGCUUAACCCCGGGUCUGCAGUCGAUACGGGCAGGCUAGAGUUCGGUAGGGGAGAUCGGAAUUCCUGGUGUAGCGGUGAAAUGCGCAGAUAUCAGGAGGAACACCGGUGGCGAAGGCGGAUCUCUGGGCCGAUACUGACGCUGAGGAGCGAAAGCGUGGGGAGCGAACAGGAUUAGAUACCCUGGUAGUCCACGCCGUAAACGUUGGGAACUAGGUGUGGGCGACAUU
rnacentral:rRNA from 1 species